AGAGUUUGAUCAUGGCUCAGGAUGAACGCUAGCGGCAGGCCUAAUACAUGCAAGUCAAACGGUGCAGCAAUGCACAGUGGCGCACGGGUGCGUAACGCGUAUGCAACCUACCUCCCACAGGGGGAUAACCAUCCGAAAGGGUGGCUAAUACCGCGUAACACCUUCCGGGGCAUCCCGGGGGGUUGAAAGUAACAGCGGUGGGAGAUGGGCAUGCGUCUGAUUAGCUAGUUGGCGGGGUAACGGCCCACCAAGGCUUCGAUCAGUAGGGGUUCUGAGAGGAAGGUCCCCCACACUGGUACUGAGAUACGGACCAGACUCCUACGGGAGGCAGCAGUAAGGAAUAUUGGUCAAUGGUCGGAAGACUGAACCAGCCAUGCCGCGUGCAGGAAGAAUGGCUUAUGCCUGUAAACUGCUUUUGACAGGGAAUAAAACACUCCUGCGGGAGGGACUGAAGGUACCUGUCGAAUAAGCAUCGGCUAACUACGUGCCAGCCGCCGCGGUAAUUC
rnacentral:rRNA from 1 species